AAUUAGCUAAACAAAGAAAUCAUGGCGGAUUGUUUACAUUUGGCAGCGCCCGGGCUGCGCCGACCGCCGGCCCCGAGCCGCCGCGGGCCCCGAGGAGUCGGCCGAGCUGCUCCCGCGCCCUGGCCGGCUGGGUCUUCAUCCUCAUUGUACUCCCUUGGCAUCUCAUGGUGACGUGACUUAGAAGGUGGUGCAGAGGGACUUACCAAUUUGGGAUUCUUCCAGGAGCUGAAAACUGAUUACAAAUAUGAAACAGAUUUCACUACAGGACUUGAACCCUACAUUAAAAAACAACAAGCUCUCCAAAAUAAUUGAAAAAGAUCUUCACCAAAGAGUAGCUGCAAUGUGAAUGGCAGGAUAUGAAGCAAGUAAGAGAUGGUGAAAAGAUUAUCUUAAGCUUGGAAUUAAGUGAUGAAAGGGACCUUAGAAAUGAUCAACUCUAAAUACUUCUUUACAGGAAAAUUGAAAGCAGUUAAGAACCUGCCCCCUGCCAUGGAGUUCUUGGUGCCGUGAGUUGGAGUUUUUGGUGCCUGGGUGCAUCCCCAAGG
rnacentral:lncRNA from 1 species